GUGACGUUCCGUCACGUACUACACGUCAGUCCAUUGGAUUUCGGAGGCGUGGUCUAUCUUGCUCCUCUAGGAUCUUUGGUCCAGAUUUCCAGCAAUCUUUUAUACAAAAGAGAGCAGCACUGACCUUUUCUAACAGCAGCCACUACUUUGGGGUUGAGGUCAAGCCGCCACCAGUCCAUCCCGCGCCCGACCACCCGCGCAGGUCGCUAACGGCCGCAGCGCGCGCCGGCUCACGUGCCGAGUCACGUGCGAGCUCUCCGCCAAUCCGCGGGUGGCGGCCGGGCCGAGCAAAGCAAAGAUCUUAUAGCGGAGCAAGAUAGGCUACUCCUGCUAAAUGCAAUGGGCUGAAGGUACACAAAAUUGCUGGAGAAACUCAGCGGGUGCAGCAGCAUCUAUGGAGCGAAGGAAAAAGGCGACGUUUCGGGCCGAAACACUUCUGUAUGGGCUGACGUGUAGUACGCUACGGAGGGGAUCCUGGGCAUUUUACCCCGCCCAUUUUAGUAACCAGAGCCUACCCGACCCGACUCGACUCGCAGUGUAAUCAAUGAACAGCUUGUGUGUGUGAUAUAGGGUUAGAUUCAUCAUUCUGUCAGUUCAUACUUCUUGUCAAGAAUAAAAUUUGACUGGUAAUUGUCUUUUUUAAUAUAUUUUAAAUCAUUUAUUUUUAAAUGGCUCACAAGCAGUGUUUGAGUUGAUUUUGUAGUAACCGGAACCGACCCGACUCGCAGGGUAAUUGACAUUGCGGUGGAAGUUUUUCUGUGAUAUAGGGUUAGAUUCAUAAUUCUGUUAGUUCAUAAUGCUGUUAAUUCUUGUUAAAGAAUAAAAUGUUUAUAAACA